GAAGGCUUGGUGUAGUGGUAGCAUGUUUGAUUCCAGCUAAGUUUCUUCAGAAAUGAGAGGUGAUUCCAAAUGGUCAUCGGUUCAAAUCCGAUAGUCUUCA